AGAACGAACGCUGGCGGCAGGCUUAACACAUGCAAGUCGAACGGUUGUAGCAAUACAGCAGUGGCAGACGGGUGAGUAACACGUGGGAACCUUCCUAGGGGUACGGAACAACUCAGGGAAACUUGAGCUAAUACCGUAUACGUCCGUGAGGAGAAAGAUUUAUCGCCCCUAGACGGGCCCGCGUAGGAUUAGGUAGUUGGCGAGGUAACGGCUCACCAAGCCUACGAUCCUUAGCUGAUCUGAGAGGAUGAUCAGCCACACUGGGACUGAGACACGGCCCAGACUCCUACGGGAGGCAGCAGUGGGGAAUCUUGGACAAUGGGCGCAAGCCUGAUCCAGCCAUGCCGCGUGAGUGAAGAAGGCCUUCGGGUUGUAAAGCUCUUUUACCAGGGACGAUAAUGACGGUACCUGGAGAAUAAGCCCGGCAAACUUCGUGCCAGCAGCCGC
rnacentral:rRNA from 1 species